rnacentral:rRNA from 1 species
CUUUCCCUCUGGCGGCAGGCCUAACACAUGCAAGUCGAGCGGAUGAAGGGAGCUUGCUCCUGGAUUCAGCGGCGGACGGGUGAGUAAUGCCUAGGAAUCUGCCUGGUAGUGGGGGAUAACGUCCGGAAACGGGCGCUAAUACCGCAUACGUCCUGAGGGAGAAAGUGGGGGAUCUUCGGACCUCACGCUAUCAGAUAAGCCUAGGUCGGAUUAGCUAGUUGGUGGGGUAAAGGCCUACCAAGGCGACGAUCCGUAACUGGUCUGAGAGGAUGAUCAGUCACACUGGAACUGAGACACGGUCCAGACUCCUACGGGAGGCAGCAGUGGGGAAUAUUGGACAAUGGGCGAAAGCCUGAUCCAGCCAUGCCGCGUGUGUGAAGAAGGUCUUCGGAUUGUAAAGCACUUUAAGUUGGGAGGAAGGGCAGUAAGUUAAUACCUUGCUGUUUUGACGUUACCAACAGAAUAAGCACCGGCUAACUUCGUG